GACGAACGCUGGCGGCGUGCUUAACACAUGCAAGUCGAACGGAAAGGCCCUGCUUGCAGGGUACUCGAGUGGCGAACGGGUGAGUAACACGUGGGUGCUCUGCCCUGCACUUCGGGAUAAGCCUGGGAAACUGGGUCUAAUACCGGAUAGGAGCCAUUUUUAGUGUGAUGGUUGGAAAGUUUUUUCGGUGUAGGAUGAGCUCGCGGCCUAUCAGCUUGUUGGUGGGGUAAUGGCCUACCAAGGCGGCGACGGGUAGCCGGCCUGAGAGGGUGGACGGCCACAUUGGGACUGGGAUACGGCCCAGACUCCUACGGGAGGCAGCAGUGGGGAAUAUUGAACGAUGGGCGCAAGCCUGAUGCAGCGACGCCGCGUGGGGGAUGACGGCCUUCGGGUUGUAAACGCCUUUCGCUAGGGACGAAGCUUUUUGUGACGGUACCUAGAGAAGAAGCACCGGCUAACUACGUG
rnacentral:rRNA from 1 species